rnacentral:lncRNA from 1 species
GAAAGGCAGUGCAUUGUGUUGAUAAAAUAUCCAAGGCAAUUUGCUGACAAAUGUUAUGCCAGCAGCCAUGAGAUUCCUCCUCUUCAUUCCAGAGACCUCAUAUCUUGAAAUCAACUUAAAAACAGUAAGAAGGUUGAAAAGAUAGCUCAAUCUCUGUGCUCAUCAGCGUUUGGCAACUAUGUGAACUGUGGCUACCCAAGGCUGUUUGUUCCUUAUGCACCAUUUAUAGUCCACUAAUGAUACCAAACAUUUUAUGUUAACAAUACCCAGAUCUUAUGAUGAGGAAAGCUAGAUGGGACUGUUGCCCGAAGGAGAGACACUUCUUUUGAACAUAAAGCAACUCCUCUAUGGUCAAAACAUGUGGCUUAUCAGAGUUCUUUAAUACUGUGUAACGAAAUUAUGUCCAUCUAUCACUUGGUGCGCAACAUCUUUUUGCCUUAUCCAUACAUUUAGGGGAUACUAGUAUGUGACUGGCAGAGUAAAAAUCUUCUGGCCAUGGAAGAAGACAACUACUGGGAUCGAACUCAGGUCCUUGUGCUUGUGCAGCAGGUGGUGAAACCACUGAGCUAAAUCCCUGGCCCCUAUAUUAAACUUUUUAUUUCGGGUAUACUGCAAGGGUGUUUUGAAUACCAGGUGACAGAAAGGUCAAAGUGCAACUGUUCUUCUCAUCCCAGACUAUUUUAAAGGCCUCAGAAGAGAGAUUUCUCCAUUUCUCACUUUCUGGGUGUUGCUUGUGGGAGAGAUGCCAGCCAGUAGGUGAGGCAGAACUUCACGGACAUGCAGUCUCAUGAUUUAUUACAAGUGCCAAUAAGACCUGAGUCAGUGGGCAAAGAAAAUGGUAUACUGUACCCUAGAGCUCAGUUGAAAUUAGAGGUACAAUUUGGGUCUUUAGUCUUAACUCAAAAAUUUUUUUCGUGACCUUUCGGUUGUGUUUACAACACAAAUUCCUUCUUAAUCUGUUUCACAGCCUAUCCUUCACCCCUCGGUGGAUCAAAACAGACCUUAUGUGAUUCAGCCUGUAGUUCACUUUGAAGUUUGAAUCAACAUUAUGAAAGCAUUGAUAAUACACAGAUGGGUAUUACUGAAACUGAAAAUGCGGGUGAGUGCUACAUUGGGCAGUCUCUCCUGAAAAUAGCCAUCUUCACUGUCUACAGUUCUCUUCAUUUGUUGUGCCUAAAAAGAUACAUCUGCAAUGUCUUGCUGAUUCUCUGCUUGACCUCCGUUGUUAUUUCUACAAUUUUUGUAUUGUUGUUUCAAGCCUGUAUAGUUUCUUAUGAAUUUAUACAUUUAAACUUUAAUUUUUUCCUAGACCGUUUUGGCAGUCUUUUGGCUUCUGCUGUAGUAUAACCACUUUCUGCUAUGAAUCUUCCUUGCCAACUGCUAUUACUUCUCCCAUAUUCAUAAUGGUUAUUCAAUAAACUGAUAGUAAAAAGCACUUGUUGGGUAACUAAUAUAGUCGAUUAGUUUUUAGCCUUGCCCUGGUCAAUCAAGGCUACUUUCUAAGAAGAAAUGUCAAAAUACAUUAAUUUUGGAUUUAUAUACAAGGAAAAUUAAAUUAACACCUUGUAGAGAUAUCUGCACUUCAUAACUGCAGUGUUUUUACAAUAGCUAAGUAAUGGAAACAAAUGUCUGUCUGUCAACAGAUGACUGGAUGAACACAUUUUGUUCUAUAUACACAUGCACACACACACACAUAAUGGAAUAUUAUUCAGCUUUUAAAAAUGAGAACUUGUCACUUGUGAGGAUAGGUAUUAAUUAAAGAAUGUUAUGCUAAAUGAAAUCAGCCAGACAUAGAGAAAUAAUAUAUGAUCUUUUUAAGAAGUGAAAUCUAAAAAAUAAAGGUCAAAGAAGUUGAAUACAUAGAAACAGAAUAGAAUGGUGAUUACAAAGGUAUUGUGAGGGUGGGAAAGGGGAUACUUAGACCAGUGGAUUCAAAUUUGAAAUUAUGUAGAGUUAAUAAAUCUAAAGAUCGAAAGUACUGCAUGAGGACUAAGGUAAUAAUAUUAUACUAUAUGCAGAAAUUUUUCUAAGAAAGUAUUUUAGGUGCUUUUACCACACACACAAAAUGGUAUCUAUGAGAAAUUUGGAUACAUGUAUUAAAUUUUUCUCCUGUAUUACUCAUAUAAACAUAUAUACACAUACACAUGUCUCAAAACAUCAUGUUGUGCAUUCUCAUUUAUACUAUAAAAAAGAAAUGUAAAAAUAAAGCUUAAGUAUUAAAAAGAAAAGGAAAAAGUAAAUGAGAGAGAGGGAGAGGAGAGGAGGAAACAGAGAGAGAGACAGAGAGAGAGAGAGAGAGAGAGAGAGAGAGAGAGAGAAUUAUAUGCCUGCCUAAAACUUUAUGGGAAGAUAAACAAGAUUUGUUGUAAUAGACUUCUAUCCACCUCUAACAGAUCCAACAUCAAACCUUAACACAGUGAUGGUGAACCUUUUAGAGCUUUCAAUGACAACAAGAAGCAAACUGUGGCAUGUGUGCCAUAGCAUAACAUCUACCAAAUUUCCAACUGCUGAAAAACACCUUCCCAACCUUCUAGCCUCUAGUGUAAUCUCUUCCUUCCAUUUUCCCCAUAAUUUUGCAUUACAAUAAUGAAAAGAUAUACUUGGACUUACAGAGUGCUCCUCACCAUGGAAAAGGAAGAAACUUAGCAGGCAUGUCCUUCCCUCUUCAGUGGCAAGGGGACAGGAAAGCUGGAAUUAUUUUCUUAUUUUUAUUUUUAUUUUCAUAUCUACAAGCUUCAGGUAACAAAUUGGGGAAAGACAGACUAGAACACAAGUGGUAUAAUAGAAAAUGGGUAUUGUCAAUUGGUUACUGAAGAAACUUCAUAAAGUUGAGGCUCAGAGAAAACAUUGUUUUAUUAACACUGAGUGACUUUAUCUCUGAUGGAAAUUAAUUUUGGAGAAUAAAAGGUAUGAAUCUAAGCUUAUACUGUUGUUGAGUAGAAUUUACUCCUUUUAGUAGAGGAUGCUAGAUAUUUGCUGUUUGGAG